CGGGCCGCGGGCCGGGGCGCGGGCCCCACGCGCGGCCCUACGACCGCCACCGCUCCGUCUCGGAGAGCGACCGCGCGCUGCGCCAGGCCUCCAAGACCAGCAAGCACAAGCACAAAUGGUCCAACGACGGCAACAGCGGCCGAGACAACCGCGGCCGCGCGGGUUCCUGCGGCGCUCAGAGCGUCGUCGCCAACGCGCGCCCUAGACCAACAACGAAUCAGUGCCAGCAGCCAAACUAAUCGCCAGUCGCAGCCAAACGCCACCGCGGGAACGCAGCGAGAACCAAACACCUGUAAAUAACUAAAAAAACCCGCGCGUGUUACUUAAACUUAGUGUUAACAGACAAAAAAAUGCAUUUUUAUAAAUAAAUUCGAAAAAAAAAGUUAAAAAGUUGCAAAAAAUGUUGUGUAUACAGCCGAAGUGUCAGUGUGUGUGGACUGUAUAGUUAGUAGUGCUGAUAGGACAGUGUGAGUGUUGUGCUCGGACCCGCUUGGAGUGGUCCGAACACGGUCCGGGCUGUCUGGAUCUGCAGGCUGGUCAAAAAUGGAGCCUAGCUUGUACGCAUCGACAAUAAACGCUGCGCGAUAGUCACCAUGAAUUAAUAUAACGUAUAUUAUGACUUGACACUGUUAGAGUAAGUAUAUCUUAACUAUAAUACGUGCAGUGUGUCUGGACUAACUUCGAAAUUUGAAACCUAUGACAUUACACGCAUAUCUGAAGUAAUGUGGUCCUUCAUCCGCCAUCUUGUAAUGAAAUUUUACGCUUUAGAGUAAUGUCCUUUAGGUUCUUUUUCGUCUGGUUACAUUGUCAUAUUGUGUGCCUUUAAAAAUUUAAUACUUUUAUAUGUCCUAUAUCUUCUUUUAUUUUCUAUUUUUUUAAUCUGUAAUCUAUAGCAGCUGGCUCUGGCUUUUAGAAUCGUUUAGUAUGUCUGUUAGUCCAGAUACACUGUAUCUAUAUAUUUUUGACAUUGUAUGAUACAUGCAACUUCAUUUUGAGUCGUAUUUAGUUUCAUCAUAAUAUAUUGUGAAAGGAUAAUUUAAGUUUUUUUUGUAUUCGCCUAAGUAGCUAAAGACCUGGUCUUGGUGCUUGACGAUUAUGCUUCUUCUGCCAAUUGUAAUACCGUUCAUUGUUCCGAUCUCUUCAUUUAGGCCGAAUUCACAUUGGACUAGCUAAACGAAGGGUGCAACGAAUUUCGGCUUUUAGAAAUUACGGUUUCUUUCACACGUAGUGUUUAAGAAACAACGCUGAUUGUUCAUUAGCAAAUUAUAGGAAAUUUAUAGUUAGCGAUUGUGCACUUAAGGCUCGAUUGUUUUAACGUUUCGCUGUCAUUGUAAAUAUCUAUAGUCGAAUUCACUUGGCUGGGAAAUGGAGUCCAGUGUGGACCGGCCGUUGUUUACUUUAGGAUGAAAAUUGUGGACAUGUACAGAUGUUGAUAUUUUUUCUGGUAGACAAAUUGAUAUUAGUGAGGACUUAAUAGUUCAAAAAUGUAUAAAAUCCUCAGAAAGACUGGCUAUCUGCAUGUUAAAGUAAAAUGUAAAGAUUAAAUGAGUGGUGUGAAAUAAAAACUGGUGGUUUUGGACUAUGUGGGGAUGAUUUUUUUGUUUAUUAGCAGACUCAUAAAGACUACGAACUUGAUUUAGCCCUUUAUUGAUAAAGUAAGCUAAAGUUGCUGUUAGGACAGCUAGUUCAGGCUGAAUUUGUAAAAAUCGUCUUUGAUGGUAAGCGUCAGAGUUGCCUUAUAGUAGAAUCAGUAGGUAACAUAAUCGUAUGCUCUAUCCUCGGAGGCUGUUUAACAUAAUAUCAUGUUCUCUCUUUUCGGGUCUGCCUACAAAUACUGCCACUUGAUUAUAUGACACAACUGAGCACACAAUUUUCUAGUAUUUACUCAAGGGCUUAGAAUGUUAUACCGUUGUGGAGAUUUGAUCUAUUUGUUUGUAAAUUCAUCAAAAAUAAUACUUUCCUAAUUACUUUUCUUAGACUUGAUCUAAGAGUUCUAUCAAAUGUAUGUCAUGUAUUUUAUUUUACUUGAUUACACCAUUUUGUUAUAAUAACGGCAUCUAACUAAUAGUUGUGUUACAUUAUGGCAUAAUUAUUGCACCUAAACCUUUUUUAAUACAUUUCUUUCUGAUUCCCACAUGUAAAAUCUGACGUCUUGUUUUGUGUAUUUGGAUGAUGUGUUGAUUUCUUCUGUGACUUUCGUAAACAUGUGCAAACAUUAUUAUGAUUUGAUCAAAUCUCUGAAACAGUCAAAUAUUCAAGCCAAAAGUCGGUCUUACAGCCUCAAUCGAGUACGACCAAUUCUAUCAGUUAUCAUUGGUGUAUGAUUGACGUUGGAGCCGACUCGUGUAUAAAGUACUAACACUAACUUGCUCAAUGUAAUGGUUUUUUAUGUACGGAAGUGAUAUCGGACUUGUGACGUGGUUUGUAAAUUAUCCAAAUCAAAUCCUAUUAUUUCAAAUAAAAAAAGCUUUUGACUACAAAUAUUUUCUUUGAAAUUAAACCGUCACUGAUAGAAUAUAUUCUUUUACGGAUAUAACUCAGGAUUUGGAUAAUGUACCCUCAAUAUUUUAUUUAAAACUGUAUAUUAUACUAAAUGUUAAUUAAUAAAUAAACGAUUGGUAAGGUGUGUGUCGAUAUGAUACUUUGAUUUUUAGUGUGUAAGUGUGCUUUUUAUUUUUUAUGAAGUGUGUGCGUAGCUAUGUGCAGAUUUAAAACAUAUUUACAUGUAUGUACUGAUCGAUAAAGUAAUAUAACAUCCGUAAUAAUAUUUUACGAGAUUAAAAUAAUAUAAUCAAGAAAAAAAAAUGAUAUUUUUUUGUCCAAAAUGGUGGUGCACACACUUUAUUCAAUAACUACUAGAUUAGUGUUAAAAUUAAAUAUUAUGUCUAAUAAUGCUUAGAUCGCUUCAAUAUAAAAUAGUUCCUAUACGUUGUAAUUAAAUGUUUAGCUUGUUUAUUUCAAAUCUCUUGGCACAGAAAUCGUUCAUAACUCUGAAUAUAUACUUAAAAUAUCGAAAUAUCGAAAUGCUGUUAUAUUUCUAUUAUUUUAGAGUUAGGAUUAAAAUGUCGUUACACUAAAGUUCUAAAAAUAUUUUCAUUUAGACUAAAAUGCACGUAGUUUCAAAAAGAGGUUAAUUAAGGAUUGUCGGUGGUUAUUUUUUGUUUCUAUCGAUAUUGAAGCGAAUGUAAUCAUUAAAUUGAAUGUAAUUCUAUAGACUAUACAGACAGUAUCGGUGUUUAGGUAUAAAUAUAUGUAUCGAGCUUACAGUUUCUACCGUUUCUUGACGACGGUCAGAUUGGGCUGGCGAAGUCUCGAAAUAAUCGAGUUUUACUACUGGCAACAUCAGGCGUGACGUCACUAAAAGUGGCUUUAGUGGAAUUUGUGGCCAACAAGAUUGUAGAAACUCAGUGACGUCACUCUAGGUAGCUUCUCCAGAAGUUGUCAAUAUUGCCAGCUCAAUAAAUCGAUCGUUCUGGAAGUCACGGGCCAAUAACUUAUUUGGUUUAUCUUCUAACUUCUUCAUAGCUGACUUUCCUACAUCAAAUCAAAUCUGACUAAUCAAAGCAAUAUAAACCUUCUUACUUAGAUAUACGCCACAAAAUCGUGCGUUAGCAGUUUACGCAAAGGCAAUUACAUUAAUGUCAGUUUGCUAUAAUCUAUCCCAAUCCAAAUUCGUCGCAACUGUCAAAUUUUAAUCUGUUUUUAGUCAAAAUAUUCAUGAUUUCGAUGUUUUCAUAUUGUUCAAAAGACUAUUCAAACAAUAAAAAGUGAAAUAGCAUCGAAAUUUGUGAAUAUUUGAUCGAAAACAGAUUGAAAUUUGACAGAUGAUUGUGGAUUGAUUGGUAGGUGUGUCAAGAUUGGCUAUGAAGAAGACCUCUUUAUUUUUAAAACCAAUAAUGAUUAUAUUAUAAUGGUUACAAUCUUUUACGGUUUCUGUGUCGCAAUGACCAAGGUUCUAUAAUUACAGUUGGUUGACUUUUCAGCUUUUGUUUAAAAAUAACAUAAAUUCUUCAAAAUUUUAUGAAUUGUCAAUGAUGGAUUAAAGUUGUUGAAGUCAAUCUUUAAAAAAUUCGGUUGUAUAUUGUAUACAUUAGUCCUUUCUUUUUUCACUUUCUGAAUUCUGUAUUAUAAACUUCAAAAUUGUAAAUAUGUUUCGAUUAAAUGCGUUCAUAGCAA